rnacentral:lncRNA from 1 species
CAAUGUAAUUAAUAUUAAAAGGGGAUUUAGUGGCUUUCUUGGACAUUGAUUACAACAUUUUAAUGUAGCACAUUAUCAAAACUGUUCUUUUACAUACAGCACAUGUUUAAGCUGCCUUGGCCGAAGAGUGUUACACGUGAAAACUUUGAUUCUCCCGAACAAUAUUCUGAAUGUAAGGCUACCAAUGAAAGGAAAGAAUAUGAUUCAGAUAGUAAUUCAUCAGUGAUGGAUGUAAAAACUUCUUGUGUAGAAUCAAAUUUAAAAAUAGAAACAAAGGAAAAUCUUGAUGGCAAUGAAACUAGUCAACCACCUUUAUCAUUAGGAUUAACUGCAACAUCAACAGAUAUUCUAAAUGAAGGAGCGAAAGGUUUUCAAAAGACAUUCCUUGAAUUGAAGCCUCCCAUGGAAAUGAAAGAUUCUGACUCAACAGAGGCCUCAGCCAAGAUGCAUAGACAAGGAUUCCUAGCAGAUGUAGUAGACAUAAAACUGGAAACAGAGAACCAGGAUUAUCCUGAUAGCCGAGAAAAUAUUCAGUCAUCUAACACCAUUACAUCUCUUCAGUCAAAGUGCACUCCUCAUUUAUCAGUUGGAAUAACUUCAAGAUCCACGAGUCUUCUAACUGAAGGAGAGAAAGAUUUCCAUAAGAAAAACCCUGACUGGAAGCCUACCCAGUAUCUGCCUGGAAGUAAAGCUCUAGCUUCAUCGGAAGUAUCAAUGCUGAAGCACAAACAAGAAUUUCCACCAGAAGGAUACUUACAAAUAAAAACAGAGGAAAGUCAGAAAAACCUUGACAGGAAUGAAAACAUGCAAUCAUCUAAUUCUGUUAUACAGCCGAAUCAAAUUCUUCAUUUACAAAUAGGACUAGCACUGAGACCCACAGAUCUUCUGAAUGAAGGAAAAAAAGGCUUUUGUGUUAACAAUUCUGAACAAAAGUCUUCCAUUGAAGAGAACUACGUUCCAACUAAAGAACCGGCAGUAAAGUGUGGACGAGAAUUCCCAGCAGGUAAAUCGUGUGAGGCUGCUCCCUUUGGAAUAACUACUUGAAACAUUCAAAACUCUCAUGCUUGCAGUCUUCUCAUAUCUAAGGCUUGCCUCCCUCCACAAAUGACUAGAAAUUGAUAGAGAUUAUCCAAAUAUCAUUUUCAUAUCGUUUAGAAAUAAGUGGUUACAUAUUAGUAUUAAUUUAGGGAUUAUAAUUAAUUAUUUCCGUUUCUAUGGAUCAGCCUACCCAUGUUUCCACUUUGGAUGCCCAAAUGUCUUGCAGGUGAUCUUAGUUUAGUAAGGAACAAUAUACAUUUUAUGAAGUUUAAAAGUGCUUACUCAAGAUAUUAUGUGGUGGUCUAUAACUG